GAUGAACACUGGCGGCGUGCCUAAUACAUGCAAGUCGAGCGAACAGACGAGGAGCUUGCUCCUCUGACGUUAGCGGCGGACGGGUGAGUAACACGUGGAUAACCUACCUAUAAGACUGGGAUAACUUCGGGAAACCGGAGCUAAUACCGGAUAAUAUAUUGAACCGCAUGGUUCAAUAGUGAAAGACGGUUUUGCUGUCACUUAUAGAUGGAUCCGCGCCGCAUUAGCUAGUUGGUAAGGUAACGGCUUACCAAGGCGACGAUGCGUAGCCGACCUGAGAGGGUGAUCGGCCACACUGGAACUGAGACACGGUCCAGACUCCUACGGGAGGCAGCAGUAGGGAAUCUUCCGCAAUGGGCGAAAGCCUGACGGAGCAACGCCGCGUGAGUGAUGAAGGUCUUCGGAUCGUAAAACUCUGUUAUUAGGGAAGAACAAAUGUGUAAGUAACUAUGCACGUCUUGACGGUACCUAAUCAGAAAGCCACGGCUAACUACG
rnacentral:rRNA from 1 species